rnacentral:tRNA from 7 species
GGGGCGUUAGUUCAGUGGGAGAAUAUUUCGCUGGCAGCGAAAGGGUCAGGGGUUCGAAUCCCCUACGCUCCA